rnacentral:sRNA from 1 species
GCUGGGUGUGGUGGCACACGCCUGUAAUCCCAGCACCUUGGGAGGCCGAGAUAGGAGGAUUACAAGUUCAAAGCCAGCCUCAGCAACUUUGCAAGUCCCUAGUUAACUCAGAGAGACCCUGUGUCUA